UCUCUCAUUGUUUUUUGGGAUUUGAAAAUGUAGUGUGAUAGCUCAUUCCUCUUCUGUGAUCAACAGGAAGCUCAAGGUGUUGUUGUGAAAUACUGGUUUAGCAAUGCAUCUGGCUCUCUAAGCUCCCACUCUCUAAAAAUUUGGUUCAGCUGUGUGUGUGGCUCUCGAAGCAAGUGUCUCUAGAGUCUGCAUGAGCAAUGGAGUAUGCUGCUUUUAGCAUGUAAAGAACAAUCUUAUGCAGCAAGUUUAGUAAUCUUCUUCACAUAUUCUCUCACCCACUUGGCUACUAGACACACAGUUAAGGGCAAAAUUGAUGUCAAAACGAUGAGGAAAAUCUUUAAGUUAUCUGGUGAAAUGGUGAUUAUAGCUGUAUUGUAUGUGAAGAACAUUGCAAGAAGGCAGAUUUGAAGCUCAAAACGCAUUGGGAAUUUGCUGGUGAGGAUGCUGAUCAUGUAAAGGGACACUGAAAAGCCUAUAGAGUUGAAAAGCACAAAAAUCCCGAAUGAGAUGAUGCCUAAAGAGCUGAAAAUGGACUGCCCUGCAAAGUGUGCUUUGUUUGUGGCAGUGCUGUUGCUUUGGUUUGUUCCGCUGUUGUCUUGCCAAACACCACCAGGAGGACUGAGGCCGACUUGGUAGGUUGCAGUUGCAACUAGCACAGCAAUAACUAACAGUGCACUACGAGCUUCACCUGGAGAGUCUCGGCCCCUGUGAAAUCUGAAGUAGUUCACCAAAUUAUUUGGUUGCAUUGGACAUGUCUCAACUGUUGUGGUGCUGUUUAGCCGAGCAUGAUUCUGAGUUCCAAAAGGAGGAAAGGCAAUGUCUUGAGCUCUCUUAGCUCCUGCGCUGUGGAGUAUCUCCUUGAUUUCCCUAUCACCUGCUUCACUUGGAAAUAUCAGCAACACGUCAAGGGCGGUGAGACCAGAAUUGUUCAUCAGAUUUACUUCAGUCACUCCUGAACCAGGUAUAGUUGCAUCACCAAGCAAGAAUUCUAUCACCUGCCAAGUUAUUUCUGCGUUAGUCCAUUCAUUCAUCUGUAUAAAAUGAUAAUGAAAAAAAAAAAACUUAUAUUACUAUUUUUCCAUUUUCAGCAUCUUUAUUAUGGUCAUGCUUAUCACCUUCAUCCCUUAAA